CAAGUCGAGCGAGAACCGUAGCAAUACGGGGACAGCGGCGAAAGGGACAGUAAUGUGUAGGUACCUACCCCUGGGUUCGGGAUAGCUGCGGGAAACUGCAGGUAAUACCGAAUAACGUCUACGGACCAAAGGUGUGAUUCCACCUGGGGAGGGGCCUGCAUCCUAUUAGCUUGUUGGCGGGGUAAUGGCCCACCAAGGCAACGAUGGGUAGCGGGUGUGAGAGCACGACCCGCGUCAUUGGGACUGAGAUACUGCCCAGACACCUACGGGUGGCUGCAGUCGAGGAUCUUCGGCAAUGGGCGAAAGCCUGACCGAGCGACGCCGCGUGCGGGAUGAAGGCCUUCGGGUUGUAAACCGCUGUCGUAGAGGAGGAAAUGCAGGGGGGUUCUCCCCUUUGUUUGACCUAUUCUAGGAGGAAGUACGGGCUAAGUUCGUGCCAGCAGCCGCGGUAAGACGAACCGUACGAACGUUAUUCGGAAUUACUGGGCUUAAAGGGUGCGUAGGCUGUGCGGAAAGUUGGGUGUGAAAGCCCUCAGCUCAACUGAGGAACUGCACUCAAAACUACCGUGCUCGAGGGAGACAGAGGUGAGCGGAACUCAAGGUGGAGCGGUGAAAUGCGUUGAUAUCUUGAGGAACACCGGUGGCGAAGGCGGCUCACUGGGUCUUUUCUGACGCUGAGGCACGAAAGCCAAGGUAGCAAACGGGAUUAGAUACCCCGGUAGUCUUGGCUGUAAACGAUGAGCACUUGUUUGAAGGGUCCUCCAUAGCCUUUCAGACGUAGCGAAAGUGUUAAGUGCUCCGCCUGGGGAGUAUGGUCGCAAGGCUGAAACUCAAAGAAAUUGACGG
rnacentral:rRNA from 1 species